CACGAGCUGAAGUCUUUUGGGCGAGACAUCCACCUCCCGGCGCAGAGGGAAGUGACACUCGAAUCAUUAUCUCUUAAACGAGAGUCCAACACAUCACAUUCUUAACGUAGCGCAGUACGAAAAGCUCACACAUGACCGACGACAGUACCAGGAAAUAACAUUGUUUCAUGUCCACAACACAACUCAGUACACAUUCUCAAUAACAUGCAUUCCUCCUUAAAUCAUAAGAUUUAUCUCACC
rnacentral:lncRNA from 1 species